rnacentral:rRNA from 1 species
UACGGAGGGUGCAAGCGUUGUCCGGAAUUAUUGGGCGUAAAGAGCUCGUAGGCGGUUUGUCGCGUCUGCUGUGAAAACUCAGGGCUUAACCCUGAGCCUGCAGUGGGUACGGGCAGACUAGAGUGUGGUAGGGGAGAUCGGAAUUCCUGGUGUAGCGGUGGAAUGCGCAGAUAUCAGGAGGAACACCGGUGGCGAAGGCGGAUCUCUGGGCCAUAACUGACACUCAGGGACGAAAGCUAGGGGAGCGAAUGGG